UUCCCUAUGGUCCAGUGGCUGGGAUUCCACGCUCUCACCGUGGCGGCCAGGGUUCGAUUCCCUGUGGGGAAG
rnacentral:tRNA from 1 species